GGGGGCGACUUGGAUUCGACGUGGGUCACAAAGCGCCAGGUGCAUGUCGAGGUGCAGAUACCUCGUUAAACUGUUUGCAAACCUUAUAGUUGCCAACGACGACAACUACGCUUUAGCCGCCUAAAAAACGGUUUUAAAGCCUUCCGCCCGGUACGUGUCUGUGCGUCCGGAUUCCGGGAGUCACAUUACACAGAAUCGCGUGGCGGCAUGUCCGGGGCCAAAACGUUAAACUUUUUCUGGACUGGUUGCGUAUCUUCCCUGCCUGUCGGGUAAUGCGUUAACGAGAUUUAAAGACAGAAUAAGCAUGUAGAUCCUGACGUGGAGGGCUUGCGGACGCGGGUUCGAAACCCGCCGCCUCCACCA
rnacentral:tmRNA from 1 species